UACGUAGGGUGCAAGCGUUAAUCGGAAUUACUGGGCGUAAAGCGUGCGCAGGCGGUUAUAUAAGACAGUUGUGAAAUCCCCGGGCUCAACCUGGGAACUGCAUCUGUGACUGUAUAGCUAGAGUACGGUAGAGGGGGAUGGAAUUCCGCGUGUAGCAGUGAAAUGCGUAGAUAUCGAUCGGAACACCCGUGGCGAAGGCGGCUUGCUGGCUCGCAACUGACGCUGAGGCGCGAAAGCGUGGGGAGCAAACAG
rnacentral:rRNA from 1 species